GCACCAUUCGUCUAGCGGUUAGGAUACCCGCCUGUCACGCGGGAGAUCACGGGUUCGAAUCCCGUAUGGUGCG
rnacentral:tRNA from 1 species